GUGAACUGAGGUACAAAGAGAUUAUUACUUGUUUAAGCCCUGCCUUGGGUAAACAGCAGAGCCAGAAUUUGAAUCCAGUUAUUUGAGUACAUGGCUCAGAAUUGGAGCCUCAGACUGGCUCCCAAGUCUGUGCUUAGUCACUAUGUUGUUGUAGGUACCUAAUAUGGCAAUAUGGGUACUACAUAUGGGAGCAUAUGCCUGGGGCACCAAGCCAGUCAGAUGUGAGCUGUGGAUUCAGGGAAAGUCUGUCAGAGUUCAGAGACAUCUCAGCUGAGAUCUGAAGGGUCUGAAGAACUGUUGCCCAAUUCAACAGUGCCAGCAUUCCAACUUUGUUAAACCUACCAACAUCUUAAAUGGACUUUCUGUGGUGGUACCCUUUAAGAGGCGGAUGAAAGCUACUACAUCAGUUUGCACAUUCUAAUCACUUCCCAGUAUCACAAGAGAGAUUUUUACUUAUAUAAUAGUCCUAGAGUAUGCAGCUGGUAAAACCAGAGGCUACGAUCCAGUAUUACUGCUAAGAGACAUUUUCAUCCACCAAUGUUGUACAUGUAUGAAAAUGGUGUACUGUAUACUUUACACGCCCCAUACUUUGUAUUGGAGAGUACAAUAAUGUAAAUCUUAAAAGCACCACUAUUUUAGCAUAAUAAAAGAAAGUCCAAAGAGCUCCUAUAUAGACUACUCCAGAUAACUUCGCUUCUUUGAUACUUGUAGCUUAUUGUAAUUUUUUUUAAGAAAUUCAAGGUCAUUAUCAUUGUAUUGUACAAAUAAGCGCUUUGAUUAACACAGCUAUAUAGUUUUUUUAAUUUUUAAAAAUCCUGUGGAGACAGUGAUCUUGUCUUUAAAAUAUGAUAGUCCUUUCAGUCUAAUGUCUUAGAUUAAAGACGUUGCCUUUAAUAUCUGUUGGGAAGGAAAUGUCCAGACUUUUCAAAUCUCUUAUUAUAUGUUUCCUUUUUUGUUUACAUAGGGAACAGUGUUUAUAGUUGUGUGUACAGUGGGGGUCUACAACAAGAAGUGUAUAUUUUCAAACAAUUUUUUAAUGAUUUAACAAUUUUUGUAAAUCAUUUUCAGGCUUCUGCAGCUGUAGAUUCUCACUGUGAAUCCCUUGCUUGCUCAUGCAUAAGUGUAUUUGCAAUACCAAAUAUACAGGUUUAGUAUUUUUGCCUGUUAGUGAUUGUUUCACAUGUGUAACGUUUUGGUUGAGAUGUUAAAUGGUGGACGAGUACUGUGGAUGUGAAUGUGGGAAGUAAUUUUAAUCAUGUGUAAUUGGUCACAAGGCCUGAGUUGCAGUAAUAUUGCUGUUUUAUUUAACAAUGCCUUGUUGCUUUGUAUGCAUUAACGUUUGGGUGUAAAGAUUGUGUGUCUAUCCAACAGGGAGCCACAGUAUUUAAAUUGACCAACCUGAUGUUACAACUCCUUUGAGGUGGCCAAAUGUAAACUAAAAGCCUUAAUUAAAGUGGUGCAAUUUUGUAUAACUAGCAUCAGUAGUUCAAUAAAUUUGGAUUGCCAUGCAAGGGCUUGCAUUAUAAUUACUUGCCACUUGAAUGUGUUUUGUGUAAUGUUUAACAGUGCUAGUAAAUAAAUAUGGGUUUAACUUCUUUUUAAAUAGAA
ensembl:lncRNA